UGCUUUCUGUGGGGGUCUUCGCGGAGAAAGCCCUCCAUUGGUUUUCUCUGGUUUCCCAGAGAGCAGGGCUUUCUCUUUUGGGAGAUAAGACUGGAGAACUGCAGAUCGUGGGGAGGUUCUUACUUUGAGAUUCCUGAGCCUCUCAGUGGAGGUUUGGUAUGGGCCCCACCAAAAUAUGUCCGCUCUCCCUGGCCUCCAGUGGGCUGAGAGCAGCUGAGUGGCCUGAAUGUUUCCUGCUCCUGGAGAAGGAGAAAAUUCAGGAAGACCACAUACAAAGAAGCUUCCUGCAAACUUCCUCCAAGGAAUUCACAGCCUGCUUGCUUCACCUUCCAUCCUUGGCAUUUCUGAUGUCUCCUAUUAAUUGCAGCAUUGUUCUUAGUGUCAAACAACUGGAAGCAAAGUGAACGUAGCUUGGAGGGGGAUGGCUGCACAAAUAAUGGCACAUCCACACCCUGGGAGAUGAGCAGCCACUUCAGGGAAAGGAAGAACUCGGUGCAUGUCUGUGAGUGCUGACAUCCACUCUCCUAGGCCAGUCACGGGGCAAGGCGGGGGUGCUUGAGCUUGUCCAUUCCUGCCUGAUGUGGGAGUCCUCUAACAGGAAACAUUACCUUAGGGACACUCCAUCAGUGUAACUGAGGUUUUCUCAGGAUUGAACUGCAAUCUGAGGUUCAUCUUUCGUUCCUCUCACAGUUAUUAGUCCCAAGUCUUGGUCAAAAGGCCCUCUCUGCCAACGCCUGCUUCUUUACCUUUAUUCUUCACAGGCAUUUCCCCCAGUGAGUCUCUUGUGUUUAGUUCAACUUGCAUCUGUUUCUUGGAGGACCUGAACUGAUAAAAUCUGCUGUGAUGCAACGAGGGGGAAAAAUCACUUCUAUGAUAUUUCUGCCAAAAAAUACAUGAUCUGAAUCUCUUCAUGAGGAAACACCAGACAAAUCCAACGAGGUACCUUGUAAAAACAAAUGGCCUCUAGUCCCCAAAACUGUCAAGAUAUGAUUUAAAAAAGACUGAAAACUGUUCCAGGUGGAAGGAGAUGAGAUAGCUAAAUGCAUGUGUGAUCCUGUAUUGAAUUGCUACAAAGGACAUUAUUAAGAUAAGUGGAAAACUGGUUCUUUUUAUUAGAUGGUGAUCACCAUCUUGAUGGCACAAGACGAAAUGCUCACCGGAGAAUUCGGGGAUAAUGAAUGGAUCAUCAUGUUCGAGACUGGGUUCAGAAGAUAAAGGUCUUUGCACUAUUUCUGCAACUUGCCUAUAGAUUUGAAAUUCUCAUCUUUCAAGAAGUAAAUGUAGAAUAUGGAGAAUGGACUCGGGAGCUGAGAAGGAAAGUCACAAAUCGGAAGGCUGUCGAAGAUGUCCAGCUAACCAUGAGUGGGCCAGCAGGUUUGAUAAGCAAAGAGAGACUCAAGGUAGAUUUAAAUGAUCAAAUUCACCAAAAUUCACCAGACUCACUGAUGAAUUGGAUCUGGAGGCAUAAUUCCCUGACGAUUAAUCCAGAUUGCCAAUAAUUAGAAAGAAUUCAGCUUUACUGGUAAUUAAGGAAACAUAAAUGAAGAUGAUGAUGAUGAUACUGUUCUGUUAAACCAACAAAGCUUAAAAAGCACAAAAAGAAAAACAUCCAAUGUAUGCAAAAUUGGAAGAAAAUGGAUGCUUUCAUAAAAACAGUAACAGCUAAUAUUGAUUGCCUAUUACAUGCUUUGCAAGAUUCUAAGCAUUUUACCUAUGUCAAUUUAUCUAAGCACAACUCUGUGAGGUAAAAAUGUUGCCGAUACGAGCUGAAUAUUACUGUCAUCAUUAUCCAUAUAACUGGGCAGUUAUACUGACAAUGCAGCCCAUAUGAACCCAUCAAAAAAAAAAAAAGCCACUGAAAUGUUUGU